ACAUGAUUUUUCUAAUAUCCGCUACCAUCAUCCACCACCUAAAACUGAUAUUGUAAUAGUGAAAAAUAUUACAGGUAUGCAUAUAACUUCUCCAACUUAACAAUCCCAAAUCAGGUUUCCACGGGAAAACUGUUACUUCACCCAAAAAAAUCUUUAAACCCUAAAAUCCCUAAAUGGUCACUACAAUUUUAAACAUAAUUCAAUUCCUUUAUCACCCGUAUUUAUGGCAUGAUCGUUAUAAGUAAUUGAUUUUCAAUCUUGUAUUCCAGCGAUUUAUUUUGUUCAAAUGAAGAAAAAAAAAAAGGUUUAACUUUGACAUUAACAGUAGUGAUGAAAACUGAAACAAACUGUAUUUUUAAUAUAUCUUAUUACGAGGUAUUCGUCCAUUCUUCCUCUGAACUUGUAAGGAGUUUCAAUUUUUGACAUGAAUUUUAAUUUUAGUCGAUUACCUCCUAUAUUUUUAUAAUUGGUUAAUUUCCCUCAUGUACUUUAAUUUUAGCCAAUUAUCCUUGAAUUUUUAUAAUUGGCCAAUUUUUCCUUGAACUUUAGCAAAUUAACAUCUUAUUAAGUAACUUUUUUGGGGGGGGGGGUGUCUAAAGUUAAAGUUAAAAUGAAAAUUUGACAACUCCUUACAAGUUUGGAGAGAAACCAAUGAAACACUACAUCUUAUUAAGUAACUUUUUUUACAGUAGUUUGGUAACGAAAUAUAUGGUGACACACAUUCACUUGAAUUCCUCUUGUGGCCAGGCCAACCAAAAUUUCGUGGGAAGGUUUGUGUUACAUGAUAUCCUAAAUCA
rnacentral:lncRNA from 1 species